rnacentral:tRNA from 1 species
AUUUAAAUAGUACAAAUAAAGUACAUUUAGUUUCCAACUAAAAAAUUAAAAAACUUAUUUAAAUA